GCUGCCCCAUAAGCGUGGGGUGAGGAUAUGGGGGUUAUGGGGUGGCUAUGGGGCUGCCCCAUAAGUGUGGGGUGGAUAUGGGGGUUAUGGGGUGGCUAUGGGGCUGCCCCAUAAGUGUGGGGUGCGGAUAUGGGGUGGCUAUGGGGCUGCCCCAUAAGUGUGGGGUGCGGAUAUGGGGGUUAUGGGGUGGCUAUGGGGCUGCCCCAUCAGUGUGGGGUGGAUAUGGGGGUUAUGGGGUGGCUAUGGGGCUGCCCCAUAAGUGUGGGGUGCGGAUAUGGGGCUGCCCCAUAAGUGUGGGUCCCACCUGUGUGUGCCGGGCCGUCCUCCUCCUCCUCACACGGCACUUCCACGGUGUCGGUGGGGCGGCCUGAAAUGGGGCAGUUGUGGGGUCACAAUAUGGGACCCCAUAGAUGGCCCCAUAGAUGGGCUGCCCCAUAAGUGUGGGGCCCCAUAGAGAUGCCAUGCUGCCCCAUAAGUGAGUGAACCCACAGAGACCCCAUAACUCCACAUUAAGGCCCCACAGCCCCAUCACCCCAUAGAAACCCCAUAACCCCACACAGCGACCCUAUAACCCCACAGAGACCCCAUAGUGCCCCAUAACCCCAUAGAGACUCUAUAGUGACCCCAUAACCCCACACACUGACCCCAUAACCCCAUGUUCUGACCCCAUAACCCCACGUUCAGCCCCAUUCCUGCCCCAUAACCCCUUACACUGACCCCAUAAACCCCAUAGUCCGACCCCAUAACCCCACAGAGCCCCAUUGCUGCCCUAUAACCCCUUACACUGACCCCAUAACCCCACAGAGCCCCAUUGCUGCCCUAUAACCCCUUACACUGACCCCAUAACCCCACAGUCCGGCCCCAUAACCCCACAGAGCCCCAUUGCUGCCCUAUAACCCCUUACACUGACCCCAUAACCCCACAGCCCGACCCCAUAACCCCAC
rnacentral:lncRNA from 1 species